rnacentral:rRNA from 1 species
CUAUCUAAAUCGGGAUAACAUUGCGAAAGCGAUGCUAAUACCGGAUAUGAUUUAUUUUUUAGGAUAUGAAUUAAAGGUGGUCUCUACAUAAGCUACCGUUUAAGGGUGAGUCCGCGUACCAUUAGCUUGUUGGUGAGAUAAUAGCUCACCAAGGCGANGAUGGUUAGCUGGUCUGAGAGGAUGAUCAGCCACACUGGAACUGGAACACGGUCCAGAUACGGGAGCAGCAGUGAGGAAUUUUGCGCAAUGGGGGAACCCUGAGCCAGCAACGCCGCGUGAGUGAUGAAGGCUUCGGGUCGUAAAGCUCUGUCAAGUGGGAAGAAUAUAUUUAAUGCGAAUAGUAUUAAGUACUGACGGUACCACUGAAGGAAGCACCGGCUAACUCCGUGCCAGCAGCCGCGGAAUACGGAGGGUGCAAGCGUUAUUCGGAAUUAUUGGGCGAAAGAGCGCGUAGGCGGUCUUAUAAGUCAGAUGUGAAAUCCCGGGNCUCAACCCCGAAAGUGCAUUUGAAACUAUAAGACUUGAGUAUGGGAGAGGGAAGUGGAAUUCCUGGUGUAGCGUGAAAUGCGUAGAUAUC